UACGGGGGGGGUAAGCGUUGUUCGGAAUUACUGGGCGUAAAGGGCUCGUAGGCGGCCAACUAAGUCAGACGUGAAAUCCCUCAGCUUAACUGGGGAACUGCGUCUGAUACUGGAUGGCUUGGAUUUGGGAGAGGGAUGCGGAAUUCCAGGUGUAGCGGUGAAAUGCGUAGAUAUCUGGAGGGACACCGGUGGCGAAGGCGGCAUCCUGGACACCAACUGACGCUGAGACGCGAAAGCGUGGGGAGCAAACAGG
rnacentral:rRNA from 1 species